CACAAGCGGUGGAGCAUGUGGUUUAAUUCGAUGCAACGCGAAGAACCUUACCUGGUCUUGACAUAGUAAGAACUUUCCAGAGAUGGAUUGGUGCCUUCGGGAGCUUACAUACAGGUGCUGCAUGGCUGUCGUCAGCUCGUGUCGUGAGAUGUUGGGUUAAGUCCCGCAACGAGCGCAACCCUUUUCCUUAUUUGCCAGCGGGUUAAGCCGGGAACUUUAAGGAUACUGCCAGUGACAAACUGGAGGAAGGCGGGGACGACGUCAAGUCAUCAUGGCCCUUACGACCAGGGCUACACACGUGCUACAAUGGUUGGUACAACGAGUUGCGAGUCGGUGACGGCGAGCUAAUCUCUUAAAGCCAAUCUCAGUUCGGAUUGUAGGCUGCAACUCGCCUACAUGAAGUCGGAAUCGCUAGUAAUCGCGGAUCAGCACGCCGCGGUGAAUACGUUCCCGGGCCUU
rnacentral:rRNA from 1 species